rnacentral:lncRNA from 1 species
CCCCAUAGCGAGGAUUCUCAUUUUGAUGGACUGUUUCUUUGCAGUGUAUCUUUAUUACCCACUCCCCAAGAGCUUUCCUUGAAGACCUCCAAGAAAUUUCUGAAGUUCUCUCUAUUUGUAAUGUUACUAUAUACUGAGAUCCAGGAUACCACACAGGGUUGCUUUGCUGUACAGGUUGGGAGGCAAAGACAAGGAGGUACACUCACUUCAAACAGAAGAAGCUGCAGAGGCAUCAACUCAGCAGGUCACUUCAGUUAAGACAGUAUUUCAAAAAAUUUUUUGAAAACUAUUUUUUCUCUGCUUUGGGAUCACUUGUUUUCCACAUCUGACUGAAGGUCUACAGAGUCCAGCUGAAAAAUUUCAGUUCAACCUAAAGAUAUAAAAAUCUCAGUUUUAAAAAACAUUUUAGAUUAAAAUUUAAAUUGCAAUUUUGACUUCAAUCUUUAAUAAUUUCUUCAGAUAGAGGAAAAGGAAUGGCAUACAUUUAUAAUAGAUUAUAACUAUAAUUUACAAAGGCAAAUGGAGUAAGGAAGAGGUUUUGCUUCUAUUCAUCUUUAAAUCGGCUCAAGAGUUACGGAUGUCUUCUCCAACUGAAAAAGAACUCUGAAAUCAAGACUGACAGGCAGUUCUGCAAGAGCAUCAUGUUGAGGCCAGAGGAACCUGUCAUCAGAGCAAAGCUCCUUUUUUAUCACUAACACAGACUUAUCCUAUCACAUGGAAGACAAGCAGACAUACCAUCUUCUUCAAAGCUUAAUCAGCGACUUAUGAAAUAUCUGAAAAAUAGAACUCUCCAUCUCUAAGGCUGAGAGAACUCUAUGGUUAACCUCCAAGUAUGUGUACUUUUGAAGUAGCAGAAAUCAGGCUAUUCAUUAUUUCUAAAUUUUUUCCAGUUUUGUUGACUAAAUCAUAUACCACAUCUGACAUAAAUUCCAAGCUAAUUCUCCUUUACUACAGAGUUUCAUUUUAAGCAGAUAAAUGUUUUGCAGAAGUCUCUCACAAUCAAAUGUCCUUUGACAUGAACUAUCUGCAGACUCAAAGUCAGGAAUAAUACUCAAGAAACAUUAAAACAGUAUUGGCAUGAUAUUAUACCUAUAUGUAGAUAGGCGGGCCAAGACAGAUGUUAUUAAAAUAAUCAGCAGCACUGUGGUGGUUUGACACUGAUUGGCAUUUGGG